AUGAGUGUAUUUUAAAACAAUUAUCAAUGAAAUAUUCUUAGGUAAAGAUAACUGUUUCUAGAAUUUUACUAGACGAAAAAACGUAAAUUGAGUAAUCGCUUUUCUUGGCAGUAUAUUUCUGUAUAUAGAGUGCGCCAAUUAAUCUCAAUGACAAAUAUCCUUUUACUUACCACUGGAUUACGUUCCGAUGAGACUUUAACCGUAAAUCAAAUUGAUAAGUCGAUUGAGUAUUGGACUGGUUAACAAAUGUUUAAUCAACUUCGUUAUAAUCUAAAAAUUCAUUUUUAAUCAAUAGCAUACCGAUCGUAAGUUUUGGAAAAUUUUUAAGUUGAGGUGGUUGAAGUAAGUAGAAAGAUAUCUAUACUUUUAACAAAUGUACAAAAGAUUUAAUAUCGAUUACACAUUACAAAACUGCGACGAUACUGAUAACUUUCACAAUCAAAUUUAAUCUUUAAUCAUAAGAAUGUCCAUGCUGCCUGAUAAAUAGAAAAGCUGAUAAAAUUUGAUAUCCGGUUUCCUUAAAUUACCCUGUAUUACAUCUUUCACGUUUGUAACAAGAUAAUUAUAUGUACAUC
rnacentral:lncRNA from 13 species